rnacentral:rRNA from 1 species
CGCGUAGGCGGCUUUGUAAGUCCGUUGUGAAAUCCCUCGGCUCAACCGAGGAACUGCGACGGAUACUGCUUGGCUUGAGUCCCGGAGAGGGUAGCGGAAUUCCCAGUGUAGCGGUGAAAUGCGUAGAUAUUGGGAGGAACAUCGGUGGCGAAGGCGGCUACCUGGACGGGUACUGACGCUGAGGCGCGAAAGCUAGGGGAAGCAAACA